CCAAAGGGCAAAAUCCUCUAGGACAUUCCAGGAGAGUUAAGUAUCACAGUUUACAGUGAAUACUCUCUCAAAGACCACAACACUGCCGGCCGUGAAAUUCAAUAAUGCUAACCUGUCACAUCAAUUCAGCAUCAGCAAAUCUAUACUUUCCCACAACAUCAGUUAUGUCUGACAGAGCAGUGCCUGGCUGAGCCAGUAACUCCAACCCUGAUGGAAAAGAGACUGUUGAGGCUUGCAGUGAUGCUUCAACGCUGGGCCAACACAUUGCCUAAACCUGGCACUGGAUGCAGACGUUGCUCUUUUCUCUGUGGAUGGUGCCACUACAUCAUGUCUCUCUCCAUCUCAUACAUUGUUUUUAGUCUCAGUGCCACUCUCUUUGUUACCCUUGAUUUUUGAUCCCAUCCUGGAACAUACUGCAGGAUUAAUCAUGAAGAGAACGGCUGGUGGACUGUCGAGCAAAGAGCAACCUCACGGUUAUCCAUCCACUUGACACAAACCGGUGGGCCAUCAUUGAUCCACCCAAUGGAGCCUCUAGGAUGGCUGAGUAGGGGCACUCUCUUCUUUUAUCAGUAUGUGACUGGCUUGGGAUGCUAACAUGGACCUACUGUAUGCAGUGGAUCAAAAAGAAAAAAGAGUAAGGCAGUGGAGCUGUCAGUGUUAGACAUGGUCUGUAGGUUAUCAGAGCUGGAAGCUGCUGUCCAAUGCAGGACAGGACAGUUAAGCAGACGGGCUGACAGGCUGACAGGUGUCAACUCUACAGGAUGUGGGCUGAUCCAGACCUCUCACUUGCCACAGUGCUCCAAGAACAGGUGGCUCACGCUGAUAUAUCUCAAGCAGCCGUGUUCACGUUGAAACACACACACACAAUCCAUCAGGAAAACACACUCCCUCAGAGACAAGGAUGCAUAUACAAGCGAGCACAUGGGCAUUGAUCAGUUAGUAUGGAUGUAU